rnacentral:rRNA from 1 species
AGUGAACGCUGGCGGUAGGCCUAACACAUGCAAGUCGAACGGCAGCACAGUAAGAGCUUGCUCUUACGGGUGGCGAGUGGCGGACGGGUGAGGAAUACAUCGGAAUCUACUUUUUCGUGGGGGAUAACGUAGGGAAACUUACGCUAAUACCGCAUACGACCUACGGGUGAAAGCAGGGGAUCUUCGGACCUUGCGCGAUUGAAUGAGCCGAUGUCGGAUUAGCUAGUUGGCGGGGUAAAGGCCCACCAAGGUGACGAUCCGUAGCUGGUCUGAGAGGAUGAUCAGCCACACUGGAACUGAGACACGGUCCAGACUCCUACGGGAGGCAGCAGUGGGGAAUAUUGGACAAUGGGCGCAAGCCUGAUCCAGCCAUACCGCGUGGGUGAAGAAGGCCUUCGGGUUGUAAAGCCCUUUUGUUGGGAAAGAAAAGCAGCAGGUUAAUACCCCGCUGUUCUGACGGUACCCAAAGAAUAAGCACCGGCUAACUCCGUG